CCCCCCCCCCCCCCUCCCGUGCCGCCGCCGCCUGUCAGCGCCGCCCUCGCGCCAGCGGGCCGCGCUCGCGCCCGCGAUUCGAGAGUAACGGGCCGCGCGGCGGCGGCAGCGGCCGUUCGCCUCGGCUCUCCGGCGGGGCGGGAGGCGCCGCGCCCGCUGCAGGCCUCGGCGGCGUGCCGGGUCGGAGAGCAGGUGCUCCGUGCUGGCGUUAGCGCGCGCUUUCGGCUGCACCGCCGCUGCUGAGCGGGCACCGGGUCGUUUCUGCUGGCUGUCCGGCGGGGUUUUGUGGUAAAACAAGACUGGAAGUAGUUAGGGGGUCGGUGAGGUUUGGUGGGUAGUGUGUCUCCCCCCCUCGCCCCCCCGCCAACCCUCCCGGUUCCCCGUGAUUGCUGGCUGUCGCCGAGAGCGGCGUUUCUCGAAACGGGGGAGAAGAGGUGUGAAAGGUCAGCAACGGAAAGGAGGCACUGGUGGUGCCAACGCUGGAUGGGCUCCCGCGGACAGAGGGGUGCCUGCAAGCUGCUUUCCAGAGAAGUGGCAGCCACAGGUGCAUCCCUCUUCUCUGCUGUGGAGCCACCUGGGGCCUCCAGGAUGAUGUGGGAGAUGGGGAGAAAUUGGUAGUUUUAGAGCAGAACGGGAGGGGACGGGAGUGUGGUGACCCGUGCCCUUCAAGGUACGCAGAGACAAAGUUUGGAGACUGCUGUGUUCAGGUUUCGCGGGAUUUUCUCCAGAUUUUGCUCAUAAUAAACUGUUCUUUCAGUAGGCUGACAAGGUGGAAGCUGUGGAGUUUUAUCGUUUUUGAAAGGUUAAUCUGUGUGAAAUUGUCCUAGAUAUAUUACCGUUGAGCUGUCAGAUUUGAGGUAUGAGUUCAGCUGUGAAAGCGGUUGAUUUAGUGUACAAAAUUGGAAAGUUUGUUUUUGCGUUUUGCCUGUUUAGGUAUACAGGUUAUUUAAACUAGAUACUUUUAACAUGGCUUUUUUUGCGGGGGGUAUAGCAGUUUUCCGUAACAAUUAAUUCUGUAACUUUGCACACUAGCAGUGUCAGUUGCAGUGGGGGGAGGAGGGAAGACUGCCAUAGUAAGGCCUUAUUUUGUUGAAAACUAAUAUGUGCUAAACCUGCACAGACAAAUGUGGCAAUAGAUACUGCAAAACAUGAAGUAAUUGUUGGUGCUUCAUGAUUUGCAAAAGUUGUUACCUGUUAGUCAUUAAUGUGGAGCAGGGAGGUUUUAUUCAGCAAGGGUUAGGGAAGUCCCUUCAGAAAGAGAGGGCUGAGCCCUGCUCUGGGAUUGAGCAUAUUUUUUUCUGAGUCAGAGAAUCAGUCCAAUCACAGUCCAGAUCUGCAUCUUAUUUGUUGUAAGUUGACAUGUAGUAACAGAAGCAGUCUCAUGGACUAAACUGGUCAAAAUAUUUUUUCUUAACAAAACUUAAACUGAACAAAACCUCAAAAAUGUUAAAGCAUAGGCUUCUCUGAGUGUAAAUUUCACAAAGAAACUUUGUUGUUGUUGUUGAAAAACUUGAUGGAAGAUAUUUGGCCAGCAAAAGUUAUAGAGAAUUUCCUUCUCCCUCCCCUGGGGGCCUGGUCCUGCUAUCAUUAAGUAUGCUCUCCAUUGUUCAUUAGAAACAGCGUAUAAUACAAUGUCAACAAUUUGAAUUGGAUCCAGAUUAUUAUUACUUUUUUUUGGUAACUGUUUAACAAUUUAGUUAUUUAAUAAAGGCAGUUCAUUCAAGGCGCUCAUCUAUCCAAGUUUAUAGGGGGAUAGCGACAACAUCCCAACUAUAGCUGAUGUAUUUCCAGUCAUCAAAUAAGCUGUGUUAUGGGGUGGGAGGGACCCUUUUCAGUUAGUGUCCUGACAGCAAAUGUGCUGAGGGCAGGGAGGAAAAGUCUUGUCUGGUAUCUUGUCUGGUUUGUAGAUCUAGGGAUGACUGCAGUCAUCUGAGACUAUUGUUAUUUUUACAGGCUCUAAAUUGAUGUAGGGCUAGAACUGCCUUAUGUGUCUGACUCUGUAGUCUCCUACUGAAGUUAAUGGAGAUCUUGACAGAGACACUUUGAGUGUGUUUGCAUCAUAUAGCUUAUGAAUAUUAAUUUAUUUAUCCAGGUUAAACAGCACGUCAAGCCUAAUCAGAUAGGUACUAACUCCCCUCAAAUUGAUAGUCUAUUUGCUGCUGCUGCAGUAUUUUGAAUAAAGAAGUUGAACAGAACUGUGUUUUCAAAACCUGCCUCAAAUAUCUGUUAUGAGCUGAACUACAACAAGAGCAUUUCUAACAGCUUUCAGAGUUCUGUUAUGAGAGUACAUGAUAAAAGUUUAAAGAAUGUAUUUAACUAGUAGACUGAAAGACUUUUAAUUUACUUGGCAUUUUUUCCCCUUAUAUUUCACUUAUCUUUCAGCUCUGCAAACUAAAUACAAGGCAAAUAGAGUAAACGGACAUUUGAAUUUAGGAUGCUUAGUAGUGGACAGUUUGUCUUAUUCUCAUGGGAGCUGGUGAAAGUGAUACAAUUUUUAAUUAAACUGUGCUGUGAAAGAGUUUAUUUCUGGCAGGUAUCUAUUUGAUUGUUGUGGUUUGUGGCUCUCUUUCUUUUCUGCUUUGCACAUAAUUAUUUCUGUGUAGUCAUUCAUGUUAGAUUCUCUUCCGCACUAUCUCUGAAGUUGGAGAAAAAAUAACAACGUAUUAAUUUUAAUCGGUAGCUUGUAAUUUAGCUUUAAAGCCCUGCAGUAUUUUAAUACAGAAAUAAUGCAAUUCCUAAUUUAAAAGUAUGCUGCCUGAUUCAAAGCCCAUUGGAAUCAGUGAAAAGACUUCUGUGUUGAGAUUAAUACAGCCUAACUUCACAUAUUCAGUGCAGACUUGCACAUCAUCUAAACUCCCUUCAUGUCACAGGGAAGGAUAAACGCUUGGGCUGGAGUUCAUCUGUUGCAUUUUUUGACAUCUGACUUAGAUGUGAAUCUAAAAUUUUAGUUUGGUCUGAUCUGAGUUUUAAAGUGUUUUUUUUAAGAUAGGUACAAUCAAGGCAGUUGAAAUUGAAAUUUAUCUUCAUCUCAUUAAGUGAUGUUAUUGUGCUUUUAGUUUUUAGACUUUUCUCCCCAGGUUUUUGAGGUACUUGCUUAUACCUCCCUUCCUAAUUUUAUGACUUUUUAAAAGGAAUGUUCAGACUGAUUCAGAUAUUGCUACAUACUUGGGAGCAUUCUUCAGGUGUGUUGCUGUUGAUGAUAGGAUCAAUCCCUAUCUUUUCAGUUUUUCUUUGGUCAAUGUGUAUUCGGAUUAAAGGCAGAAUUUUGUCUGGUAAAAUCGUAUUUUGCAUUGUCUGUGAGCAUACCACUGAUGAUUUAAAUAUUAAUGGAAUGAUGAAGGUGUUUGUUAAUCUGAGUAAAAAUUCAGUUGAACAAUGGGAGGAACUUGAGCUAGACAGACCCAAGUCCUAUGAGUGUGUCUUUGGUGGAGUUCAGUUAAAAUCUGGAGUGGAAUACUAGAUUUUUUCCUUCUUAUUGUUGUAAUCAAAACCUUAGUGGCCCUAUUGGCAUUAAUCAGAUUCAGAUUGUUAAGAUUUUCAGUGAGCCUUCAAAUUUCUCUAUAACUUUGAAAAAUAAGAGAGUAGAGUCUCUUCUGAGGAGCUACUUGCUUGCUGCUUUCUACAGCACUAUUUAUCCACUCAUACAGGACAAUUUCUGGAAUUGCCAAAGCUGUAGGUAGCUAGAGUUAGACAGAUUAGUGUAUGUCCUAGGCAAUGAGUAGGAACUUCUAUGAAGGAGUUAGGUGCUCUUUCCACAUUAGUAUUACUGUACUAAAAUGUUAGUUUACAUCAGUACUAUAAAUCCAUUUUAUUAGUACAGCUGCUAUUUCUAACACUCUCACUCCUGAUUUAUGUUGGUGAGAAGGCUUGGUGGGAAGUGUGACAGCUGCAGUAGCUCCUUGCUGUAUGAACACAUACUGUCCCUGUGACAGUCUCCAAACUUCUCAUUCAGGGAUAUCCUCCCUGUUAAAUUUUUUCACACUCUGUCUGAAUCUUACUUGUCUUUUGCACACCAGGGGAAACAUAAAGCAAGUGAAAAUGGUCCCCAGGAAAAACCCUAGCAUGAUAGCAGAGCAUAAAUGGAACAGCUCUCUGCUUUUUCUUUGGACUUGACCUCCUUGUCAUAGGGAGGUUGUUGGGAUACAUUCACAACAGAUGACUGCUCAACCCCCAGGUCUAUCUGAGCUUUCAGGUUUUUGUUGUGUAUAGGUCUGUCUGUACUAGACAUACAGGAGAACUAUGGUGUAUAAAGCACUUUUCAUGUACUCUGUUUAAGAUGGAAAAAAAAGAAGAAAUGGAUCUUUGGCCAUGUUGUAGGCUGUGCUAUUUUUCUGGUAUCACUAUGUUACUUAGGAAUGUGGAAACAUUUUUGUUUUCACACCUAAUGAGCAAAGCUGUAUCAACAGCUACUGUGUAGCUACAAGUUAUACCAGCAAAAACAACCCCCUCCCCCCCAACUCCUUUUGCUAAUCCAAUGUAUGUCCCCUAAGGAAAUGGUUCAACUGUUUGUAUAAAAUUUUCCUGUUACAAGUCUCAUCUCCAUUAGCGGAGAGAGGGGUUGUUAGAAUAACUGAACGGACAAAGUUUCUGGAGUGUCAAUUAGCCCUCUAGUUUGCCUUCUUCCCAGAUUAGCCUGUUACAUGGUCCCUGCCUGCUUUUUACUGGAAAAAUUCAAAUGUGACUAUGCAUUCUUGGCUAGAGUGACUUUUUUUUAGUGUAGCAUGGCUAUAAAGUUACAGUAAUAUAAGUAUUUGCAUAUUUUGUUUUCCUUAGGAAAAAGGAUUAAAACUGCAAUUUUACUGUGUGCAUUUUUUCAGCAUAUGCAGCUGAGGUAUUCUGUACAGAGAGAUGCAUCUAAGCCAGUAGCAUUGAUGCUAUGUUUACAUAAUUAUAUAAUAUCCUCCAAACUGAGACAUGAAGUUCAUGGGAUACUUAGUACUCAACAGUUUUUAAUAAAUACCGGGCUGGUCAGCAUUGACUCAAGCUUAGUUAGGGGAGAGUUGAAAAGUAUUUGGGGGCACAAUAUUAGGCAGUGACUUUGGUUUGGUAAUCAUAUUUUUCCAGUUUGGAAAAUGUAUUUCUUGAAUGACUGCAGCUUAAAGACUGACAUGAUGCUCAGUCAUUUGUCAGUUUAUAAUAGAAAUGCUGAUACUAGCCAUAACUGUGAUGCCUUCAACAAAAAAUGCUUCUCCUUGUUUUAGGCUUGUUUAAUACUAGGUAAGAGUCAGAAAUGAUGGUGGUUAUCAUGCUAUGUAUGUGGGGAGAGGACAUUGUUCUGUUUCUGAACUGUGACUAGGUCUAGUAAACUCUCUUAUUACCACCCCCCCCCCCCCAAAAAAAAGCACAAACAAACAAACCAAAACCACAAGAAGCUGUCAAAAGCUGUGGAGAGCCCCAAACUGUUAGAAUCUUAGUUUUCUAAGAUUCAGCCACUUGGCUUUCAUGUGUAGUACAGAGUAAACGUGUGAUGUCAAGAAAUGCCAUAGGUAGUCACUGGGAGAUCAGCAGAACUGGCUACCUCAUACAGUGUAUAGCUAUGGCAAAAUCAUUUUCUGAGGAAGCUAACAUAGAUCUUUGCAUUCUUGCUGAUUGUAAAGAAUUACAGUCUCUUAAAAAUUCUUUUCUAAGCUGUAACUAUAUGUAUUUCAAGGCACUUCUCCCUUUGGUGGUUAAGAUAGAUAAGCUUUUUCCAAGGAGACAACUGGGAGCAUGGUUUUGUUUUGUUUUCUUAAAAUUCUGUGCAUAUCAUUAUUGUAAGUGAGUACAUCAAACUCUGUUUCUUUUUGAUUGUUGUCAAGCUACUAUCAUAAACCAGUCUGUAGAGAGUGAUAAAGAGAUUCUUGCCAGAUGUCGAAUGUCAGCCACUGAAGGAAGAUAGCACAUCACAUAUUGGUAGUUCCCAACCUCUGGAUUUUCUUUGAACAUUCCUUGGGUCUAGGAAAAGUGACCAAGAAAGGUGACCCUCACUGGAUAUGACAGACCUAUUUUGGUGAUGAGUCAAACUGUAGUUCACCACAUGCCUAUGAACUGUGCAGUGAACAAGGUUGUUUUCAGUUAAACUAUGAAGGAGUGUGGUGGACAAGACUUAGAUAAGAAGGACAUGUUCUCACAGUUAAGGCAGUUUGGUGUAGCAUUUGGAACUGGAUUCUAAUGUUGUCUUUGCCAUAAAACUUCCUACUGGUCAGGUCAUGCAGUAAACUUAAAAAGGGUCCCUGUGGGUUGUCCAACGUGAAACAAUCCAAGAUUGCAGGCAGGGAGAGUAUCCCUAAGUGCUAUUGAGUUCAGUGAGAGCUCUGCCUUAUGCACGUAUUGGGCUGUGAAAGCUCAAGUAAGGCUCUUGAUACGCUCAACUUUGCAGCUGGGUCUUGGUUCUCUAUGUGUAAAUAAAGUGAGAAUAUUCUCACUUUGUAAGAGAUUUGUGUAGAUCAUUGUUUAAAAACCUCAUACUCUAAUGCAGCUGCCAAUAGGUAUGUUUGUGAAAAAGAUCAGUACAAAGUUUUUAAUGUAAAGUUAAUGCUUGAGGUUGUAUAUUGAAGAUGAAACAAAACCUUCAACAGCCACUAAACGGAGUUGGGAUCUUGUAAAAGGAAGAGUAUAUGAUGCAGACAGACACUGAUUUAAAGUUGCAAAAGUAACCAUGCUUCUACUGUUUUGAGAUGCUGGAGUUGGUAGCUCUUCUAUACAGUCUUAAGACUGAGUAUUGAGAUACUCAAAUCUGAUCACUUUAUGGAUUUAAAGAGCAGCAAGGAGUCCUGAAGUGACUCUGUUAAAACCACUUGUCCUGAUAGAUGCAUUUGGCCUGCAAAUUUUCAUUUCAGCAAUUUAGUUGAAAUACUGAAGCCAUUAAAUGUGUGCAAUGAAUGAGAACUUAAGCCUAAGAUGAAGUAUUAUACUCAAAUGGGAGAAAAAGUCUAUUUAGGUGAAAGGAUGAAACAAAUGUUAGAAAAAUUACAAUCUAACCUACUUUAUUUCUGGAACUGGAAUUAAGCUUAGUAAGUUUUUCUACUAUGUAAAGGAUCUAAUAUACUAUUUCUACAUUAAUCUUAUAGAAGUCAGUAGACCAGUUUCGAAGAGCUGUCCUACACUGUAUUGUAAAGCUUGUCAUCAACCUGUUCUGCUGGCUGAUCCACUUCUGUAAAUGUUGCAGAUGGUUCAGAUCAUCUCAGCAGUCCACAGAACUAGCAGUAAAUUGUCCAGAACCAAGGUCUCUACAUAUUACCUGUUUUGAUUUCUCUGAGUUGACAGCCUACUCUUAAGAGGAGUUGCUGCUUAGUAGGAGGCUCCCAUGGCACUGGUAACAUAACUUACUGCUAAAGGAUGGGCCUAUAAUCAGAUGUUUUUUCUAGCUUUGCCUGAUUCUACUUUCUUUCCCCAGGUACGUCUGAUAUAUUCAACAAGAGUCUUAUCAUCAUGUUCAGAUAUACUGUUUUAGAGUGAGCAGAGAACUUGCAUGUAAGCUACUGUAAAAAUAAUCUCAUUUCUAGCCAAAAUGUAGUCAUCAUGGCUACUUAAUGACGCUUCAGUAGCUUUUAACAGAAUUCCUGUUAUGUUACUGGGAUGUUAUAUUUUAAUCUUAUACUGAAGCAGAUACGGUGGAUUAAACUGCAUAACUAAAGAUUCUGAAAAAGAUUAUCAAAUAGCUGUUGUGUACUAGUUUCUGGGCUAGUCUAAAGACCUGUAGACUACGAAGGGUGUGUGUGGGGGAAAUUUACCGUAGAGGUUAGUUAAGAUAUCUUAAUCUGUAGCGGUUGUGUACUAGUUUCGGGGCUAGCACUUUGAAAACACAUUUAGAAAGAGAAGUUGAGUGCUGAAAAAACUCUCCACUUAUGAGAGCACGGUAACAUUCUGGAGAUAGUAGUCUAAAGACCUGUAGACUAGGAAGGGGGGGGGGGGGAGGAAAUUUAGUUAAGAUAUCUUAAUCUGUAGUAACUCACUCCUUGCAACCUAUACUGGUAAGAAUCAUGUAAUAUGAUAAGGUGGGCAGUCUAGUAGUAUGAGCGAAGUUUUGUGAACCUCACUUCAGGUUCUUGUUCUGCUACAGCUUCCUUAGUGAUCUUGUCUAAGUUCUGCUGGUUAUUUUAUAUAAAUACCUCAUAAACACCUGUGUACCUAUAUAAAUACAGAAAAAGUUUUUGAUAUGGAUAGAACAUCAUUUAAAGAAAAAAAGAACAAACCAACCUUACCUAGACUAAAUAAUGACAAGUAACUUGAUUACUGAGAGCAGUUGUGUUACACUAAGGUUUUUUCUUGGAAACUAGUCUUCCUGCAGAAAGUCUCAUUGCUAUCCAAGAAGGACCUAAGGACAACUGUGGAAAAUUUCAUCUUAAUCAGAAAGGCAUGAAGUAGCUGAAAAGAUGCUUUUUAUUUAGCCAUCAAAGGGACAGGGUGGUAGACUCCUUCAGUGAAUUAUUAUAGUCACCACAGAGGGACCCAUCUCUCUGUCCUUGUUUAUUAAGGGAAAAAAGCUAGAUCUUUACCUGAGGCAGUCCUGGAUGCAUCUAGCCCAAUCACUAGAAAACUCUCCCUAAAAAUGCAUAAUUUGUGUAUCAGCUUCACACUAAGACAGCUAUAGGUUAAGACUUCUCUAACAUCACUGUUACAGCAACUGGGAAUAAAGUUCAUGGAUUCAUUUUUUAUUUGAGUAGGUGAUGUACACUUAUCACGAAAGACGACUGCAAUAUUUUUUCCAGAAAUUUACAAUAGACAGGAAUGUUCUUGGCAAUAUUGUCUUUAUAGUUCUGUCAGUUUUCUUCCUCUUUAGCUUCUUCUGUGUUCAGAAAAUUACUCUGGCAAGUUCAAACAUGACCUGUGGAAUAACAAAUACUUAAUAUGAAUUUUUAUUUGCUUUAUUAAUUAUUAAUAAUUUAAUAAUUAAAUAUACUGUAAACCAGAUAAUCUGAAAAAUAACUACAGCUGCAACUCAAAAGUUACUUGCAAUAAACUGAACACUAAUCCUUUUGUAAAAUGUGUUACAUGAAUAAGCUAGUCUUGUUCAAAUUAUGAAGUAUAUAAAUUGCACUUGUGUUAUUACAUUCUUCAAUGUGAUAGUGUAAACAAACCAACCUCUAUGGUGAUGAGUAUUACUAUCAUCCACUCGAGGCGCAGAGCAUGCUUUUCAUUCAGGUGAUUUCGCAUUAGGUCUGUCAGCUCCAUGCAGUGCUGAAGCUUUUCAUUCAUUACCUGCAACAGAUUCCAAAUAUAUAGCAAAUCUGGAUUUCAUAAAUUGUAUGAGAUCACUAAAAAAAGGAACUCAACCCAGAAAAGGGUUCACUGAACAUAACGGUUGAAAGAUUAAUUUCUUUCCUCUGCAAAAGAACAGAACAAUGUCCUGUAGGACAACAUGUACAAGUUUUAACACUAAUUAGUCCAUUAUUCCAAUGGGUUCAUGAAAAGAAUUAAUACAAAUUUAGGUAACUAUCUGCAGCUACUAAACAGCUACUGGGUUAUAUAUAAUCAUGAAAAUAGACACAAGCAAAGAUGAUGCAUGUUAUGGGAAUGCCUCAGACAGUAAUUAAAUAUAUAUUUAAGGUUGCCCUAGUACCAGAAAAGGUAGUUUUCAUGCUUCCUGUUCUGUUCUAGCAGCAAGUAUUAUGUUACUUUGCAAUGAACUGAACUGGAUGAUCAUGUCAGUAAAAAGACUACUUCAUAUCUCUCUCUCUCCCCCUCUCUCCCCCUCUCUCCUUCUUUUUAAAACUGUUUUCUUGCACUCAUUCCAGAACAAGAACUAAAGCUCCUCUUCUUAGAGCUGUAUAAAGCCUAAUUUCAUGGCUCAGGAAAGAUGCAAUCAAUUCAUGUAAAUCUAGAUGGUUGAGGCAGGGUAAUUAACCUAAAUCAGGUAAAGGAUGCAAGUUACAGACUCAUAGAAAAGGGUAUAGUUUAUGGGAUCCUAUCAUUGUUUAUUCAGUUUCUACAAUAAAAGCAAACAUUCAUGGAGCAGUCUGCAACCAUGCUAAACCAAAGACAACUGAUUUGAAUGUGGAAAAUUCUCUUAAGACACCUACCUUAACUCUGCGAUUAAUGUUGAGAAACUGGCAGGUCUUGUCAUAAAGCUCUUCUAGUUUCUCUCUAUCCCAGUAGAAGUCAGGUGUUAUAAGCAGGUCUGAACUCAGAUUUAUACGGUGUCUAAAAAGAAUGGUUACAACAGUACAAAGUUCUCUUGAGUGUUUACAGAAGCAAAUAUUUACACAGCAAUUAAGGAAAGUUUUCUGCAAUUUCAGGUAAAUUAUGAAAAACAUCUCUCCUCUUUCAUAGUAAGAGAAUACAGGUUUAGUAAUUAUUAAAAUUGGUCACAUCUGAAACUUUUCUGAGAAUACUGAAAGAUGCAACAGCCUCAUGCAAGAACUUGCUUUUGCCAUAUGGCAACAUUAUCUCUUGUCACCUUCCUUCUUAACUUCUGAUAUCUGUCUUUAUGCUAGCAGUUCACUGAAGCUCAUGAAGUGUGAAUUAAAGUUAAUGGGCAGGUCUGUCACAGCUUGUUUGUUAUUUCAGAACUGUUAAGCAUAACAGAUACUGCAUACGGGGAUAUGUGAACAGAGCGUGCCUUUCAGAACCAAGUCUUUAUUCCUCAACGGUAUAAAAGCCAAGAGCUAGAAUCUCCCUUCAAUCUACUGCUCCAAUAAUCUUUGGGCAUUUAGACUAUCAUUGUACACUACUGACAGGCCCUUCAAGUAGGGAUAUAAAAUUCAAUGUUUAGAAAAGGAAUUGCUUUUUUUCAUCUACUACUUUCUCCACUGAUUUUUAAGAGUCCUUUGUGAAAAAAAUGUAUAAUGCUGUGUAUUCCUGAUGGCCCAGUUUCAUUUGAGAGGGGAAAAAACCCUAUGAAAUUCUUACAAUGUAACAGUAGUUUCUGAGCAAGUCUAGGGAAAGAACAGAAGUCUCAGGAGCAGCCAAAACACUAAAAAAUUUUAUUAACUCUAGGCCAGAGAUAAUGGUUUUAUAUAGCUUUUUGCUUCCUCCUGGUAUUCUUUUGCAUACUGCAGUAUCUACUAUAAUUACAGGUCAUAGGACAUGUACCACUGGACCCAGAGAGGGAGAAGGGUGUGGAAUUUGGCCAUUUACAAUGUGCUUCUUAAUGCCUGUCUGACAGUUGAGAUACUAUAGUGUGAGUGGUGAGCCAGUGGGAAGCGCAGUCUGACUAACAUAGCAGCGCAUGUGGCCUCUGACCCACAGCUGGUCAAAAGAAGCUAUCUGUGACUGUGUGGAGUAAUUUUGUGGCUAUGAAAACCUGCAAGGAAUCUGUGAAAACUAAAACCAUUUAAUGUCUGCACAUAUAGAAGAAGGUAAAGAUUAAACACUGCAGCAGCAAAGACAAUGCAGAAGUAUUCAGCACUGUAACAACGAGCUAUUGCAGAUUUUGGUAGAAGCCUGAGUGUGGGACUGAACUUUAGGGUAAGUACAUCAGGUGGCUGGUUUUGGUAACAUGGCUAGUUUGCUGAAAUCAAUAGUUUUGUUUCAGCUACCAGGGAUCUGGUUAUAUUCCAGAAGUCCUUUUUCACUACAAAAAUCUGUUAAAUGGUUUCAACUGCCUGCAUGUGACCCUGCAAACAGUUAAAUGUGCAAUUUUACUUCAGAAGCAAUCUCAUUGUCAUUUUAUUCCCAAACAUGCUAAAAAUUGAUGCAGAAAGAAAAGGCCUUGUCUCUCUCAAAUCUUUCUCCUCUAGCAUCUAGCUUAAGAUCCCUUAUCCUCGCUCCUUUCUACGUGUUACAAGUCUCCCUUCAUACAAAUCAUUCUGCGGUUAGAAAAAGUUCUGAAUUAAAAACAGCACUCACUGACAGUUUUUUAAAAAGAAGUUAGCUACAAAACAGCCACUAAAACAAAAAUAUACUUUUGGUACCUAAAUUCUUUGAAGAGGUGAAUCUUGUACUUAAAAAAAACUCUCUUCAAAUAAAUAUGGACUACUCAAUCUUUCAGUGCAAAACUCUGUGUUAGUAAAUUGUUCAUGGAGCACUUCCUCCAGCUAUAUACUUUAAAAAUCAGUUGGAUCGCCUGCAAGAGGGAUUUUCUUUGCAGUGCUAGCUUUCUUCAUUGCUGUCAUGAAUUUUGGUGAUACUAUCUAGAUAAGGCAUGAUAACAUUAUUCAUUGUUAAGAGAGGCCUACAAGCUGCAACUGCUUGUUCCAUUAUCCUGAAUUUAAUAGUAGCAUGAUCAAUAUCUGCCAUAUAUUCUAAAUAUUGUGGUAAAAAUAAAAGUAUGAAAAAUUAUUCCAUAUUCCAUUGUUUAAGCAAAGAAAUGUAUGCUGUUUGACCAGUAAGCUUGGCCAACCAGUUAUGCUGUUUCUGGGGACAGUUCAGCAACGCAAACCCUGCUAAAACAAUGCCAGAGUUUAGCCAGUCCAUAAUGCAGCAUGUCAGAUUUCAAGAGUGUAUUCACUUGGAUCCAGAUACCCUAGCUGGCUUUGUAAAGUCAUUAUUAUUAACACACUAAUAACUAUGCUGUUAAUAGGCUAACAGUCCCUUCCAGAACUAUAACCAGCUCAGGCUUUCCAGGGCCAGUAGAGAGUACAAUUUAACACAGCUUCAUAGACCCUAGCUGACUCUGUGCAAUUCAUAUGUCUUGUAAUAUGCAUAUUUCCAAAGUUCUUCCAUCACUCUGGAUAGUGAGAAACUAUAUUUAAAACUGGCAGUUUUCUUUUAUCUAUUCAAAGUAAUGCAAAAGCUUCCACCGAUUGGUGUGAGCUUCUUCUAGGCCCACCCUGAUUUUAUAGAAGGGACUACCUGUGACAUAGUACAUUUAAUGAAAAGAGAUGUUCUGGAUUGACUGAAUGCAAGCUCUUGCUAUUACAGGCAAACACUUUGUACAAUUCCCCUUUAAAAAACAGAUGGAACUGCACCCAGAAGCUAGCCUGGCUUUUUGCCCUUACUACUUCUGCUGGGAAAGCUGCUCCACAAAGUUCCUCCUCAGGUAUUAAGCCAUAUUUUAAGUUUUCAGUUUCUAUUUAUUUGUGAUCAGUCUGUAGUUACUACUUCCUGUGUUAAAUGUCCCUUAAUUUAAAAUUUUUCUUCCAUAAUAAUUGUUCUGGAGUAUUUUUUAAAAGCAGUUAUAUCCAUUCACAUCCAUUCUUUACAUUCAGUUUUAUUGCAUGUAAGUUCACAAAACCAUUUAUCAUAGUCCAGUCUCACUAGUGCCUUCCACAAUGGCAUUAAUACUUUUCUAUCCCUAAUGCCAAUGCCUUGGCUGAUACAGCAUGCAUUACAACUCAUCUUUUUUGUAUCCAAAUUAUGUGCUGCUCAGGGUUAUCCUGUACUGACACCACCAACACAUAUCUUUUCCCAUUUACAAGUUAUGAAGCCCCAAAUUAUAAACAAUAACUUCUGUAAUUAGUCUUGCAGCAGGGCAUUGUGUGUCUGCGUUAUGUGUAUUUCAAUUUUCCAAACUUUGAUUUAUCAUUUUGGUGGUUAAGAGGGAAGGCAGUGGAGAUGGGGCUGUUUGUUUUUGUCACUUCUCACAUGCUUUAAGUGAACUUUUCUCUCACCAAUGAUUUCUGCAUUCUAAAGAACAGUGUAUGGUUUUGGGCUGAUACAUAAAAUCCUGUCUACUUUAAAAAACAUCUAAAUGUAUUUUGGUUUAUAAAAUACAAUUCUAAUAAUCUGAAAUGACAGAAUAAUACCGCAUCCAGGAGCCACCCCCAAUUUUUUUUAAGAAUUGAAAAAAAAUAUUUUUAAAGAUUAACAAAGCCAAUGGGAAAUAUUUUUAGCUUUUCAGGUCAUAUGAAACACUGGAACCAUGUUAUAUAAGUACCAGUAUUUAUAUGAGACUGUGGAUAGAUGACAGCUUCUGGGUCCAGCUCUACCAAUAGAAAAGGUUACCACAACCAGUGGCUGGGUACAACCCUCAUUAAAACAAUUUAUAUUGUUGGUUUGAGAUAACCCAGGUAUUUUUUCUGGAAGAAAACGAAGAAGCACUACAUGUUCUAUCAAUAGAUCACUGUCUCCUCCACGGCAUGUUUGGAUCUGUAAGAGGACAUCAAUUAAUAGCUGUAUUUGUAUUCAUUACAAUCGUCCUACAGUAAAAUCCUGUUCUGUAGAAUAGAAACUGGAGGGGUUUUUUCUUAUUUUAGUUUUGGUCCACUAAAAUUUGUGCAUAAAAAACACUCCCUCUGUUUGAGCAAGCUGUUUUCAAGUUAAAAUUUUGACUAGGAUUUGAAAAAGCAGAAGAAUCCAGCCUUCCUCUAUUUAUGAAUAAAACUAACAAUAGACCAACCAAGGUUACUAGCCCUGACAAGAAGAAUGUGAUGUCAAGUUUUCAAAGGUACUAAAGCAUGUAAAAAGGUACAGCAAAAUGAGGUCUUUCCAAGUAUCCCAGGGGGUAAAGGUGCUCAACUCAAAAAUCAGUGGGGUUAGGCAGCUGGUUUUCUGUAAUACCUGUGAAUCAGUAUUGUUUUAUAGCCAUAGCAGCUUAAGUGUGCUACAGGAAAGGUCUGGAGGGAAAGCUAAUAUUUUUUUGUAGACCAGCUGAUAUAGCAGAGGAGGAAGAAAAAAAAAUAAAAUAAAAAAAGGAAAUCAGGAAAAUUUCAGGUCUGAAGCAGAAGCGACAAACUUAAAUCCAGAAAUUGUUCAUGUGUGGAAACAACUACUCUGUGUUUUAGUAUAUUUUAAUGAAAAUCUUUCUGUGAACCUCUGUGCAUCUCCAUAUCAUCCGUCUAAUCACCAAUUAGUUCCACGUAUCUUGCAUACAGACAAGACUGAUAACUUGUAUUUAUACAUCUGACACUCAGCUUUAUUUAACCAGAGUAAUAAAAAAAUAAAAGUAUUAAUAUAUAAAUAUCUGUAAAUAAUUAUAAAUAUAUUCAUAAAAAUAAAUAUGCCUGUAGCAUAUCCUUUUGGUCAGCAAACCCACCAAAUUAUGAUAAGGGAUAUAUUGAUUCUAUGUCAACAUAUUUUGAUGAUUAUACCAAACUAUAAAAAAGAACGUUCCUUUAGGAAAAUUACUAGAAGAACAAAGCAAUAUAAAAAAACCAAUUGUUCACAAAUUUUGGCUUUUUCAAAGUUAUUAAAGUACAAGUUUUGAGUAGUUUUGACUUAAACGGCUCUGGAAUCAGCAUUUUCUGCUAACUCAUCUUCUGUUACAUAAGUACCUUUCAAACAUCCAUUUUAAACUUUUCAUUUCACAGGUUGAUUUUUCCGAUUUAUUCCUUCAGUAUGUAUAGCUGCAAGGAUUUUCUUUCUAUCAGUCUCACUAGAUCAAGGUUUCAGAUUUUUGGCCUUAAGUAGAAAAUUUCAUCCACUUUGAAUGUGACACACACAUUUGCUCAUUUUGUGCAGAAAGACAAGUUUUAAAGAUGACUUAUCAGCAACCCACACGCUUGAGGACAGCAGCAGGCAAGCAGCUGCACUGAUUAAAAGAAUCAGUCCUUUUCCUUCUGAAGAGAUCCAAGCUCCCAAGCAAAACCCAAGCAUGCAGGGCUUUGUGGACUGACAACACAUCUACUUAUGAAGUAUUAACAAUUUGCUCGACUUACAGUUUUCUCUUCCACAUUCCAAAACACAACAGCCCCUUCCCUG